rnacentral:rRNA from 1 species
UACGUAGGGGGCAAGCGUUGUCCGGAUUUAUUGGGCGUAAAGAGCGUGUAGGCGGCCAAAUAGGUCGGUUGUGAAAACUGGAUGGCUCAACCUCCAGACGUCGACCGAAACCAUCUGGCUAGAGUCCGGAAGAGGAGAAUGGAAUUCCUGGUGUAGCGGUGAAAUGCGCAGAUAUCAGGAAGAACACCCGUGGCGAAGGCGGUUCUCUGGGACGGUACUGACGCUGAGACGCGAAAGCGUGGGGAGCAAACAGG